ensembl:lncRNA
UGCCAGUGAGCGAAAGAAGGAUACACAGACUCUGGUCCGGUCUGAAAUGCAGUGUCAUUUUUACCGCGCAUGCUCUUUUCCUGACUGUCACAUCCAAAUAUUCAAUUAACUCGAGUUGUCAUCCAUGACCAGUAAUGUCAGCUGAUAGAGCAAAUCUGUCGCACAUAAAUUAGUCUUCGAGAUACCUCCGUGCUCCCUACAUCAAACAUGGCUCAACUAAUUGGUAGUUUGAAAGUGAAAACACAAAAGUUGAAUGUCAUUCCAAAGAAAAUUAAAGUGCCUUAAUGGAAUACAAAACAGAAGCCCCAAGAGAGCCAGCUCGACCUGAAUGCCUUCGUAGUAGCACAUUUUUAUUUUUUAUUUUUUUAUUAACCUUUAUCACAUCAACAGAUGAUGAACAUGAACUUCUUGGGUGACCUUCCAGGGUUGUCUGUUAGGAAGUGGCGGGGGAAGAGAGAACACCGGCAAGCUUUGAGAAUGCUGAUGAGGAGGUCAAGAGUUGGAAGCGAGAAAGUUUUACACUUUUUAGCCAUCUGGGCCUCAGGUGUGGAUAAUAGUAUGAUGCUAAUCAUCACAGCUUUGGCGGUAUGUGACUGAAGUUAAUGAGCCUUUUGCUGUGCACAUCAAAGGAGGGUAAGACUGAGGCUUUGCUGUCCUUCAUGUAUCACUGACUCACACACCUGAGUAAUAAUCCUGCCAAUCAAACCCCAAGCUGGACCACAGAGCACCUGCACACAGCUUUUAAAUAUUCACUAUUGAGUUUCUUUGUCCCUCUGAUGACUGCAUUAAUGUUCACUGCAUUAAUGUUCUGGUAACUGACUGAUUUAGGGCACACACAUGCUUUUCCAUACAGUGUUUUUUGAUAUAGUUUCUCUUUUCUUUUCUUUUUUUUUUGAGCAACAGCCUUGAGAUUUUAGGCUCUUGUAACAAAAUUCUAGUGACAUGUCGAAAUUAAAAGAAAUUUUCAGUGAAUAGCUACCAUCAGGAUGCCCUUCGACAAAGAAUUUAAUUGUUAAUUGAAUGCUAUUUUUCAAAUGAUCUUUCUCGCUAUGCAUGAAAGGAAUGGGGGAUUAAGCACUGGUUGAAUGGAUCUCACAUGAAAAAAAAAAAAGUUAUGUAGUCUACUGUGUCCAAAGAAAAAUCUCAAUUAAAAAAUAAAUAAAUACAAAAACAAGAUGAUGAAAGGACAUUUAAUUUAUGAAAAGACAGACUGCUUCAUUAUUGAAGUCAAGAUGUUACACGUUAUGCUAUGAACCAUCUUACAUGCUCAUGUCUGACCACAUGAGCUUAACUGAUGCAGUCAGCUGGCAUGUUUUCUUUCUGUUACUUUCCUGGCUCCUCCACCUCUUCACUCUGUCUCAUCGUAUGUCUCCAUUUAAAUCAGAUCUUGUGUACAUAUUCUUUUUGAAAUGUAGUUCCCUUUAUCAUGUGACAUUAAUGAAACUAGACUAAAAGUAUCUAAAGAAACAGUGAUUUUAUGACAAGGACAGUCUCAAAAUAAAUCUC